UACAGGGGGGGCAAGCGUUGUUCGGAAUUACUGGGCGUAAAGGGCUCGUAGGUGGCCAACUAAGUCAGACGUGAAAUCCCUCAGCUUAACUGGGGAACUGCGUCUGAUACUGGAUGGCUUGAGUUUGGGAGAGGGAUGCGGAAUUCCAGGUGUAGCGGUGAAAUGCGUAGAUAUCUGGAGGAACACCGGUGGCGAAGGCGGCGUCCUGGACCGGCAUUGACGCUGAGUGAGCGAAAGCCAGGGGAGCAAACGGG
rnacentral:rRNA from 1 species